CUUGUACACACCGCCCGUCACACCAUGGGAGCGGGUUUCACCAGAAGUAGCUAGCCUAACCGCAAGGAGGGCGGUUACCACGGUGAGAUUCGUGACUGGGUG
rnacentral:rRNA from 1 species